rnacentral:rRNA from 1 species
CCUACGGGAGGCAGCAGUGAGGAAUAUUGGUCAAUGGACGAGAGUCUGAACCAGCCAAGUAGCGUGAAGGAUGACUGCCCUAUGGGUUGUAAACUUCUUUUAUAUGGGAAUAAAAUGUUCCACGUGUGGGAUUUUGUAUGUACCAUAUGAAUAAGGAUCGGCUAACUCCGUGCCAGCAGCCGCGGUAAUACGGAGGAUCCGAGCGUUAUCCGGAUUUAUUGGGUUUAAAGGGAGCGUAGGUGGAUUGUUAAGUCAGUUGUGAAAGUUUGCGGCUCAACCGUAAAAUUGCAGUUGAAACUGGCAGUCUUGAGUACAGUGGAGGUGGGCGGAAUUCGUGGUGUAGCGGUGAAAUGCUGAGAUAUCACGAAGAAGUCCGAUUGCGAAGGCAGUUCACUGGACUGCAACUGACACUGAGGCGCGAAAGUGUGGGUAUCAAACAGGAUUAGAUACCCCGGUAGUC